rnacentral:misc_RNA from 1 species
UAGUUUUGAUUUUUAACCAAACCGGACCGUGAACAGUGGAUAAUGAUCCAUGUAGAAGUGGCAAACAGUAAGAAAUGAGACUAGAAAUGACAAUAUGUACACUUGUAAGACUUGCAUACCAAGAGAUGGUCACAGUCUCACAGAUAACAAAAGAGUUGACACAAUAGAACAACUAACUAGCCUGAUUGUGGCUAAGAAGAUAAAUACUCUUUCACCAUCAAGAUUUCACUACACAGCUUUUUAGGAACUUGUUGUAAUGCUUUUCCUUCUUGCCAGGCUUGCCCUACCAUCACUCCUGGCCCGGCAUGACGUAUAUAUAUGACUAUCUCAUCGUUAAAUGGCCAUGGAUGCUCCGCUGGCAUGGGGAAACCACGAGGAAAAUCAGGGAGAUCCAAUAUUCCAUCUUUGAAUUCAUAUGCUAAAUCACAAGGCUCUUCUGUAGACAUCACUUCUUUGACUUCACUAACCGUAAAGUACAAAGGAGAAAAUGAACUCGAGAGCCCAGAGAAAACUGAUUCGCUAAUAAGUCGCCCGUAUGCCUUUCCAUCACCAGCGUGAAAUACAACCUUUUUGAAAAAAUUUAACCAGGCAAUCUGCAGUGGCCCUCCGCUUGUUCUGCACUUCCAAAAUUCAGCAACUGUAUCACUAUUUCCAGUUGCUAGCAAGCUAGAUGCACUUUUCUCUACCAGUUUUGAAUUAUUGUACCGUGUCCCAGCUAUCUCCCAAGCUUGUGAAAUCAACCUUGGGUUAAGCAAGGCCAACAACCUGUGCCGCCUUUCCUCCGGAAUAUCCUCAAUUUUCUUCCAGAGAUAAAGGGCGGGAUUAUAAGAAGAUGGAUCCAAAGGAAUAAGCUCCAUGGGAGGGUCAAGGAAGGUGACUACAUCCUGUUCGUCCAAGUACACUAUCUUGCCAUUCGGUAAAACUUGGUAGGGUUUUUCAUCCCACGGUGAGGCAGAGCUGGAGAAUGAAGACGAAGUUGCCCGUACGGCGGCAUUGUAGUUCGCCCGACGCGAAAUUGACAGAGACGUGCCGGACGGAAGAGCUGAGCCAAACUUUGUGGAACAGAAAUGCGAAGCUUGCUGCCGAUUUUUGCAAGUGAUUAUUUUUGGGGAGAAGACCGCGAGGCUACGGGCGCGCGCCCUCUCUGGUGCAGCUGUUGCUUGAGGAUACUGCAUUGUGAAAAGCCCAGGUUUAGCCAAGUGAGAAGUAAACCAUUG